rnacentral:rRNA from 1 species
GUAGGUGGCAAGCGUUGUCCGGAAUUAUUGGGCGUAAAGCGCGCGCAGGCGGUCCUUUAAGUCUGAUGUGAAAGCCCACGGCUCAACCGUGGAGGGUCAUUGGAAACUGGGGGACUUGAGUACAGAAGAGGAAAGCGGAAUUCCAAGUGUAGCGGUGAAAUGCGUAGAGAUUUGGAGGAACACCAGUGGCGAAGGCGGCUUUCUGGUCUGUAACUGACGCUGAGGCGCGAAAGCGUGGGGAGCAACCAGGAUUAGAUACCCUGGUAGUCCACGCCGUAAACGAUGAGUGCUAAGUGUUAGGGGGUUUCCCGCCCCCCUUAGUGCUGCAGCUAACGCAUUAAGCACUCCGCCUGGGGAGUACGGCCGCAAGGCUG